rnacentral:rRNA from 1 species
CAGCCGCCACGGUAAUACGGAGGGUGCAAGCGUUACUCGGAAUCACUGGGCGCAAAGGACGCGUAGGCGGAUUAUCAAGUCUCCUGUGAAAUCUAACGGCUUAACCGUUAAACUGCUUGGGAAACUGAUAAUCUAGAGUAAGGGAGAGGCAGAUGGAAUUCUUGGUGUAGGGGUAAAAUCCGUAGAUAUCAAGAAGAAUACCUAUUGCGAAGGCGAUCUGCUGGAACUUAACUGACGCUAAUGCGUGAAAGCGUGGGGAGCAAACAGGAUUAGAUACCCCCGUAGUCCCUGUCUCUUAUAC